UCCCGCCGACUCCUUGCUCAUCUGAUUACCU
rnacentral:piRNA from 1 species